GUCUAAUCCCUUCUGAAAUCUCUCACCUUUUUAAACUACAAGUUCUUCGAUUCAGUGGUCUAAAUGAGCUUAGACUUGGGCCUCACAACUUUGAACUGCUCCUUAAGAACUUGACCCAAUUAAGAGAGCUCAACCUUGACUCUGUGAACAUCUCUUCCACUAUUCCUUCAAAUUUCUCUUCUCAUUUAACAACUCUACAACUUUCAGACACACAGUUACGUGGGCUAUUGCCUGUAAGAGUUUUCCACCUUUCCGAUUUAGAAUUUCUUGAUUUGUCAUCCAAUCUCCAGCUCACUGUUAGGUUACCCACAACCAAAUGGAAUAGCAGUGCAUCACUCAUGAAGUUAUAUCUCGGUUAUGUGAAUUUUACUGGUAGGAUACCUGAAUCAUUUCGCCAUCUAACUGCACUACAUGAGUUGGACAUGAGUUCUUCUAAUCUGUCAGGGCCCAUUCUUAAACCUCUAUGGAAUCUCACCAACAUAGAGAGUUUGUUCCUUGAUGAUAACCAUCUUGAAGUACCAAUUUCCCAGUUCUCGAUAUUUGAAAAGCUCAAGUACUUAUCACUUCGAAAUAACAGCUUUGAUGGACGACUUGAGUUCUUAUCCUUUAACAGAAGUUGGACCCAACUAAUUGAAAUGCUAGAUUUUUCAUCCAAUUCCCUAACUGGUCCAAUUCCAUCCAACGUAAGUGGACUACAAAACCUAAAACAGCUCUACUUGUCGUCAAACCACUUGAAUGGGACUAUACCUUCCUGGAUAUUCUCCCUUCCUUCACUGAUAGUGUUAGACUUGAGCAAUAACACUUUCAGUGGAAAAAUUCAGGAGUUCAAGUCCAAAACAUUAUAUGCUGUUGCUCUAAAAGAAAAUAAGCUGGAAGGUCCUAUUCCAAAGUCACUCCUAAACCAGCAGAGCCUACGAUUUCUUCUCCUUUCACACAAUAAUAUCAGUGGACAUAUUUCUUCAGCUAUCUGCAAUCUGAAAACAUUGUUUCUACUAUAUUUGAAAAGUAAUAAUUUGGAGGAAACAAUCCCACAAUGUUUGGGUGAGAUGAGUACAGUUUGGAUUUUGGAUUUAAGCAACAAUGGUCUUAGUGGGACAAUUAAUACAACUUUUAGUAUUAGAAACCAAUUCAAGAUCAUUAAAUUGGAUGGCAAUAAGCUACAGGGGAAAGUUCCACCAUCUUUGAUCAAUUGUGAAAAUUUGGAAUUUCUAGAUUUAAGUAACAAUGAGUUGAAUGACACGUUUCCAAAAUGGUUGGGAGACCUACCUCAUUUACAGGUCUUAAAUUUGAGAUCAAAUAAGUUCUAUGGCCCUAUAAGGACUGACCACUUGUUUGCUCAAAUUCGAGUCAUAGAUCUCUCAUCCAACGGAUUUAGUGGAGAGUUACCAUUGAGCUUGUUUCAGAAUUUUCAAGCCAUGAAAAAAAAUGGUGAGAACAGUGGAACCCGAAAGUAUGUAGCAGAUAUAUAUUCUAAUUAUUACAAAAAUUCUUUGAUAGUGACAACAAAGGGACUGGAUUAUGAACUUCCUCAAGUUUUGACUACACAAAUAAUUAUCGAUCUCUCAAUGAAUAGAUUUGAAGGUCGUAUUCCAAACAUUAUUGGAGAUCUUGUUGGACUUCGUACGUUGAACUUAUCUCAUAAUGUCUUGGAAGGUCACAUACCAGAAUCACUGAAACAUUUAUCUGUACUCGAAUCAUUGGAUCUCUCAUCUAACAAAAUCAGCGGAGAAAUUCCGCAACAACUUGUGUCCCUCACGUCACUUGAAGUCUUAAAUCUCUCUCACAAUCAUCUUGUUGGAUGCAUCCCCAAAGGAAAACAAUUUGAUACGUUUGAGAAUAGUUCAUACCAAGGGAAUGAUGGGUUACGUGGAUUGCCACUCUCAUAACAUUGUAGCAGUGAUGAUCAAGCGACAACUCCAGCUGAGCUAGAUCUAGAAGAAGAAGAAGAAGAAGAUGAAGAUUCACCAAUGAUCAGUUGGCAAGCGGUUCUCAUGGGUUACGGUUGUGGUCUAGUUAUUGGACUGUCCAUAAUAUACAUAAUGUUGUCAACUCAAUAUCCAACAUGGUUUUUGAGGUUGGUUGUGCAAUUGGAACACAGAAUUACUACGAGAAUGAAAAGGCACAAGAAAAGAUAUUAGUGUGAAGUGUUUGUUAUCCUAUGAAUAAACACAUGACUUUUCUUCCUUUGAGACUCAAAUCAGAGUUUGCUUUCAUUUGUCUAUGGCAUGUAGAUAUGUGCCAUCACUAAAAACAUAGUAUUUCACUCAACUCUUUCACAUAACAUCAUAACACAAACAUAGAACACUCGACUUUAAGUUCGGAAACAUAAAAAUCUGUAUUUACAGAGUUUGAAAAUAUUUCUUUUCAGACUCAUGAUGGUCCUGUUAAGAAAUCACCACCAACUUAAUUAAUCUCCAAGACAUUUCAAAGAAGAAUCUAGAAUAUUCAAGAGUUAUAAAGAAAUAAAGGAAGAGCUCUAGAAUGAGUAUUCUAGAGAGAAAAGUCUAGAGUUGUCCUAGAUAAGAUAGUUCUAGAAAUAGGAAGUUAGAAGAACAUUCUAGAAUGUAGUAGCAAAACCCUUAGCUAGAUUCUUCCAUCACCACCUAUAAAUAGAGGUGGUCCAUUUGAGUUGUAAGCAAUCAAGAAAGAAAGCAAGAAACAAAGUAAGAAAGCAAGAAAGAAAGUAAGAGAGAAAACAAGAGUGAGUGCUAAGUUAAGAGUGUUGCUGAAGCAAGCAACAAGUGUGAUCAAGAUUGUAAGACCGAAGCGGGUCCUUGCUUUGAUAUAAUAAAAUUCAAGUUGUGAGAAAUUGAUUGUGUCCGUCGUCUCCAAACCAAUAAUAUUCAACAGGUCCUUCAUCAAAAGAUAAUAAACAUUAGGAAAAAUAUUCGCAUUAUUCUCUACUGCCUGAGCCUUACAUAGACAACAUCAUGUGUUUUCAACUGGAAUCUACAUUCUUUGAAGAGCUGAAGAAAGAACCUUCAACUCUUCCCAUCUAAGUCUCGGAUGACAGAGUUACCCGAUAUCUCUAUUGGUGGAAGGUAGAUGGUACCAGUUGAAUUAAUUGAAUAGAACACAAGUUGACCCAAGCAUCACUGUUACACAACAACAAACUACGCCUCAGCCCUAAAAAAUAACUUGCAUAGAGACCUGCAAUAAUGUUCAAACCCCAAAAUAAGAUUAGACAUAAACACAUAACUGAGUGAUAGAAUUUCUAGUGAUCGAAAUCCAUAAGGAUUUCAAACUUCAUUUAGGAAGAAAUCAAGCAGAAGCGCUUGACUAUAGGUGAGCUUUAUCGUGAUCAACUAUUGUUCAGAUUAAUUAAUUAGCAAGCUGCUGCAUAAUUUCAAUGUUUCGGGGCAAAGAAAAAGAUUCAUAAAACAAAAGUAGAAAACAAUAGGAAAUACCUCGCCAAACAAAAGGAUAUCACUACAGCUUUCUUUAAGCAGUGCUUUAAUCUCUCUGCAAAAUCCAUAUGCAGCAUCCUUUUAACUGAUUUUGAUGAGUCGAGAUUUCACAAAAAUGUAUCUAUCAAGCUAUGACUUAGCUGAUGCUGCAGUUAACAUCUCCACUAAAUAAAACUGUGGGCUGAAACCUUGUGUAUUCCAGCAUCUAACAUUGCUUUUCUCAAGGCAGCAGCAUAAUCCCACCUCUCUGCGCCAGCACAAAUGAUUCGGUUGCGACUCAAGCAGUAGUUGUGAUACUUUAUUGUCACGCCUCGAGCCUACACACCCUGGGCGGGACUGGCACUCGAAGACCAUUGCUGGCCCCAAGCAAACCCUUGGUUUGGCUUACUUAACUCAGUGGAAGACAAUAUUCAUACUUAUAAUGAUCAAUAACACUUAACUGAACUGAAUAAUAAGAUAACUAAGAAUAUUAAAAGUUAAACAUUCAACUUGGCCAAAAGUGGCAUCCAAGUCUUAACAAUAAGAAAUGAUACUGAAAAGACUCAAAGGACUAACAUCUAACUGUCUAUGAUGCCUCUAAAACAACCGAGAUGGAUGUUGGGAUAGACCCCACAAUAUCCUAAUGCACUAAACUAGAAAACAAUGAAAAUAGAUCCUUCGGAAUGCAAGGAGGCUCACUGGCUGACUGUGAACUGCUCACUGGAUCAACGGUGCGCUGAAAUGCCGAUCUUAGUUACCUAUGUCUACAUCAUAAGACGAUGCAGGCCAACUGGCAUCAGUACAUUGAAUGUGAGUAUGCGAAUUGGAAUGCUAAAACAACAUAGGCUAGAAAGAAUCUGAGAGAAAUUGAAGAACUUACCUGGCUCAACUCAACUCAACCUAACUGAACUCAUUUCAAGAUAAAGCAGUUUAAAAGCAAGUGCAAUAUAAAGAAAAGAUGUUUAAAAACAUGAUAUCAACUUUGUGUAUGCAAAGAUACAAAUAACUCUGAGAUGUAUGUAAAAAUACAAAUAAACUGAUGUGUAUAAAAAUACAAUACUUCUGUGGGAGUUUUUCUAAACGACAAUCAUCACAUAAAAGUUAUUGUGAUGAUACAACGAUCUACCUCACGCUGUCAGCGCAUCCUAUACCCGCCCAAAGGUAUAGGACCUGAAUUGCCUAAUGGAUCCACUAGUCCAUUGCGAAAAUGAUUCAUCUAAAAAGUAUGACCCUUUUCUACCCAUGGUAGCUACAUUGUUUUAUGGUGACGUGAGUUAUUUGAACUCAUGCUCGUCCCCAAUUCGUUGCUCAAUACUACUCCCAAAAUAUACGGGCUCUUAUGUUUUAAAAACAUACUUCUUCUGUGGUUUGAAAUUAGUGCUCAAAAACUUAGCUCAACGGCUAUCUUGGAAAUCUCAGUUUCCCUUCUUGCUUCAUUUAGAAAGCUAUAACUUUUUCUGAAAACUUGCCCGAAGGCUCUUUGGAAAUCUCUUGUUUAAAUGUGCAAACAUUUAAAACCCUUUUGGGAAUACAUAGUCCCCAUAUACUUUUGAAGAAAUGAACUUCAAACUUUACUCUUUACUCUUUACUCAACUUGAACUUUAAGUCUUAAAACAAAGUUAAAACAUUUGGAAAAGACUUUUGGAAUACUCCAAGAACUUAUCUUGACUUGACUCUUAUUUCUCUUCACUUUGAUCUUAACUUUCCUUGAAUUGGAGUAUGGAUUCAAGGUUCAUGAUCUCAUGUUUAUGGAUGAUUUCAUGAUGUUUAGAUGUACCUUAGAGUGUUGGAAUCAACUAGAAAACGUAGGUACAUCACUAAGGAACAUGUACUAAAAGGUGGGGAACGAAUGGGGAGAACUGGCGUCCCUAGCACUUUGUGAGGCGCGGGGCGCCAGCCCUUAAAGUUUAGAGAACUUUCUGUGGCGCUCUGGCUGGCGCGACGCGCCAGAGGCCAAAGUUCAGAGGAACUUUUGUGGCGCUCUGGCAGGAGCGGUGCCCCAAGCCCUUGCCCAGAAAACUCCGAUUUUUCUCCUUCAUUUUUCAUCUCUAAACCCUCUAAAGUUCAAUGGUUCUUUUCCCAAACACUUAGAAUCAUUAGCACCCUCAAUAUACAAUAGAUUCAACACGAAAUUUCACCAGGAAACAUGAAUCAAAUCAUCAAGAAACUUCAACAACACAACCCUCAAGAAUUCAACGAAACUUUCAGCAAUGUUCAUCAAGAACUCAAUUUCUAAUCAUUCAAAGACUUAAAUUCGCUGAAUUGAAUCAUGUUUGGCGUGUGGGUGAACUAACCCAACGCUAUGUGAUCUCACAUACCUUGUAGGGAUCACCCCCGACGAAUUCCAGAAGUUAAAUUUUGACAAUCUUGGCGAUUCUUGAUUUCUCUUCUCUCAAAACCUUAACUCUUUUGGUAAAAGUGUAAACUGAUCUAAUUCAGCUUAGACCCUUAAGUAAUUACCAAAAACGAAUUAAAAUAAAAGGGUAAGGAAAAGACCAAACUACCCUUUCAAAAUUCGGAUUGGACAUUUCCUUAAUCCAACAGCCCAACUUCCAAGGGUAUAUCUUACUCAUACGAACUCAGAAUCGCAUAAACUUGGCGGCGUUGGAAAGAUAAUUCCAAGAUAUUUCCAAACAUAUCUGGAAUUUCACCUAACUCAUCUUGAGCUAGGAGUUAUGGUCAUUUGAAGUUGACCAAAAACUCAACUUUAACUUGCUUACAAUUUUCCAGAUUUCCUUAUACUUUCCAAAAAUAACUAUUUCCAGAUUUUAAACUUCUUUCUAGUUCUCUCUAGUUGCGAGAUGUUACAUUCAUUUCCCAAUUCAAUAGCUCCAUGAAGUCUACAAGCACCCAUCAGAGCCCCCAAGACAGUGGCAUCAGCUUCAAAAGGCAUCUUCUUUAUGAAGUCGUACGCUUCCUGUAGUAGCCCAGCUCUCCCUAAGAGAUCAACCACACAACGGAAAUCAACAAGAUAAUGUUCCAUCUUAGCUACAAGUCAAAAUUCAUGAGACAUUGCUUCAAACAAUACAAAACUGAAAUCGACAAGCUUGGAAUACUCGCAAGCUGAUAGAACAGACACAAAGGUAAUCUCAUUUGGUUGCAGCCCCUUUGCCCUCAUCUUCUCAUACAUCAUUAAUGCGUGCUUCUCUCUUCCAUUCAAAGCUAGGGAAGAAAUCAUAACAUGACUAUUGAAACUUUUACCAUUGAGCUAACUUCUAAGAAAAGGGUUGUAGAUUAUUUCUGAUACAUUAAGUUCUAUUCAACCUCCUUUAUGAUGCAAAUAACAUAAAUGAAAGGCAAUGAAACAGUGCUAAAUUACGAAGGAGAUUUGAUAUAUAGCUUAGAGAAGAUUUGGGCCUCUUGAAGUGUAACAGCCCAAAGCACAAAACACUCAAGGCCCAAUCUGUUCAUUGACCCAAACCAGCAAAACAAAAGAAAAUAAAAAUCAGACACAAAAGUUGAGUCUUUAGAUCAUUCAAUCAGACGAUAUGUGCACUCACUAAAAACAUUGUGUUUCACUCAACUCUUUUACAUAACACAAACAUAGAACACUCGACUUUAAGUUCAGGAACUUAAAAAUCUGUAGUUACAGAGUUUGAAGAUAUUUUUCUGCAGACUCAUGAUUGUCUAUAUUAAGGUAUCAGACAAAAUGCAUGUGUUUUCACAAUUGGCCGUGUUAUCAAAUAACUACAUGAACUCUAAGUACUAAUACAUAGAAAUUUUCUUCUCUUUUUUAGUUUUGUAAUAGAAAGGCAAAGUUGUGUGCGGGCAGGGUUGUUGAGGGAACCAAAACCUGUUGUGUGGGGGCAGGAUUGUUAAUGACUAAAAAUAUGUUGGAUUAAUGAAGGAAAAUAGAGGACCAAAAACAGCUACAAUGCCAUAAGUUCUGACCGUGUUCAAAUUUUAAAAGAUUGUAAAUGAUAUUAUCAGCAUUUGAUAUAACAUAAUUAAGGCAACCAAAAACAUUGUGAGUGUCUACAAAUUCUGAAGAGGCUGUAAAUUUUUUUUUAUUAACAUUUAGCUUAACUAUAAAUAAGGCAACAAAGUAUGGAUUUCUUUUUAAAAAUUUGAAGAGGCUGCAAAAGAUAUUACUAGUAUUUACCAUAACAUAAAUAAGGGAACAUCUAUUAUUGUCUAUAAAUAAGGUACUUAUUAGCAUUGCUGUAAUAUGUUCUAAUUAUUAGUACAUGUUAAACUUCUUAUUUACUCAUACCUUUAGUAAAUGAUUAAUGUCUUUAAGUCUCCAAAUACAAGCUUUAUUUUCAUAGUUUCUGUUGUUUCAUCUUAGAUUUUUAUUACUGCCUGUUGUUUCUUUAGCCUCAAUUACUGUAUUAUCUUGUCGUUUUUUCUGCUUAUAUUACUGCAUUCUUUUCAUUUUUCUUUGGGCCGAGAAUCUAUCGAAAAUAACCUCUCUACCUUCAAGGUAGUGGUAAGGUUUGCAUACAGACUAUCCUCCCAAGACGGUCAGGCCCCACUGGUGGUAAUCAAUUACACUGAGUUUGUUUGUUAGCCUAUGAAGAACCUGCCAUGUCUUGACUCCUUCACUGUCUUCCAUCACUUGUUUCUGUCAAGUUGUGGUGUGUGUGAAGAGAGCAAAACAAAGAUAUUUUUUCGUGACAUUCAAACAAAAUGUAUGUGUUAUUACAAGUGGUGGGACUUUGUGUUACGUUGUUUCUUUCAUUUGAAUCUUUCUAUGCUAUCUUAUUUAUCGUCCCUUCCAUCACUUGUAAACAUACAUAUACGUAGUAAUUUUCAUUUGAAGAGUACGUUUGUGGAACUUUUUAGUUGUGUAAAUUUUCUUUCAAGAUAAGUAAAAGAAGUCUAUAUAUAUCUGAAUUUACUAUGAAAAUUUUAAAAAGUAACCUUCAUUUUUUAAUUUUCUCUGGAACGAAAAUGGACUAAUGGACCUAAGAUCAUGCUGAAAGACAGAGUUGAUGGACAACAGGUGAAUAUCAUAACUUUUACUAUUUUAAUAAAAUUGAGCUUGAUAUUUUCAUUGGAACAAACUCUCAUUCUUUUGUUAAAAGUUGAAUUUGGUAACAAACACAAGGCCAAAUACUUAAACAUGUGUAUCUUGAGACGUAGAGAAAGCGAAUUUUUGACAAAAGUAAGCCAUUAUUUAAAUCAAUUCACCAAAGUAAUAUGUUUUUUUGAAAAUUUACAGAACUAGUAUGUAUAAACGUAUUCCUGAGUAACGUUUUAGGCUAUAUUUUAUUUUAAAAAAUUUAGACGUGUAAAAUAUAUGGACUGACGGCGUUAAAUAAAGAAACGUUACUAGGGGUAACGUUUUAAGCAUAAUAUGUUAUUGUCAAAUACGUUUUAUAAUUUGUUACUCGAAGGCACGUUUUAUAGCUAAAACGUUACUCACAGUAACUGUUUCUUUAAAAUCCAUUUACACACACGGGUCUUUUAGUUUGCUUAGUACAUUUCUUGUUAAUGUAUCAAGUGGAGUACUUUUAAUGGGUUUUAGUUGUGUUUAUAUCCUUUCAAUUAGUUGUAAGGUAACUUCAAUCCAAAAUACCAACAAUGCACAAUUUAUUUAUUUUUUCGUUCUUGUCUCUAAUUUUGAAUAAACUAUGUUUGUGUGCAUAACCAUGUUCUAUUGGAUUUUUCUUGUGAAAAUCAAGUGAACAAAAAGGAUAAAAUAAAUAAAUAACAGUGAUGAUUUUUCUUACAAUUUUCCGCCUAGUGUUCGAUAAAUUAUAGUGAUAGAUUACCACCUCAAAUUAACACCCUAGCAAGAGAAAAAAUCUCUCGAGUUAGAAAACCAACAUUAUACAUGUUGAGAAUAUAUACCAAGAAAAAAGAGAGUAAAGAACCAAACAAAUGAAUAUUUUUAAUGACAAAUUAAAGCCUUUGUCAAUAAGGCAACAAACAUUCUAUUUUUUAGCAAAAGGUAUAGGAAUUCAAAUGUAUGUCUGUACAAAACCAAAGCCAAUAAACUCCAUUGUAUAGAGCAUUUUCACCUAUGCUAGAUUUAACUAAUUUAUCACAAUAAUACAAGAAGCCUAGCUGCUAGAAAAUUUGAUCAGCUCACCAUAUUUACAAAAGAAUGGAUGAAAUAUCAUUAACAUGUGCUCACUAGAUAAUAAGUGAAAUUACCACCACUCGUGAAUCCAUGCCUGCAUAUAUGUACACAAAAAAUUCUAUUAUAACAUAAAUAUUGUGUUAGGAUAGGAGGAUGCAUUCGACAAUAGUAUGAUUUUAUCGAUCAAUUAUAGCAGAGUAUAUUUGCUUAACAAUUCUGAACAAGAGUAUCAAAAUUAACAACUGAAGCUACAUGGAAGCCAACAUUUUAAAUGCAACUAAAGCUAUGAAUAUAAGUGCGAGUUGUAAACGUUGUUGGUUCCAAAUUAGAUAAAUUCUCAUAAAUUAUGGCAAGACAAGGUUGCUGCAAAGAAAAGUGAUUCACUGUCAACUACCUUACUAACAUAAAGUAAUUCUUUAUUUUCUUCUUCGUUUUUUGUUUUGUAAUAGAAAGGGAAAGUUCUGUGGGGGUGAGGGCAGGGUUGUUAAGGGAACCAAAAUGAAGAUAUCAGAAAAUCUAGUAACCAACACGGCCUCAUGGUCUCAGAAGGAUAAUCUCGAAAAGCUUGAAGAGUAAAACAAGUUGAUAUCUGAAUUUACCUCGAAAAUUUUAAAAUGGCCUUCAACUUGGAACUAUUAAUUUUCUUUGUAACAAACUGAAUGAACGAAAAUGGCUUAUUAUUAAUUUGUUAAAAGAUGUAUUAGAACCAUUGGGAGGACUGUUUUGAGCCAUUAGAACCAGGUAAAAGAAUAAGUUCUGUCACAACAAAUUGUAGGAAAUACGCAUUGUUGAGCUUAUGCUCGAAAUCAAUUAAGGGUACGAAAAGUUUUGUCACUUACAAAGAAAAUGCUUGUGCCAUCUCAAAAGUUUCGUAACUUACAAAGAAAAUGGAAAGCAUUCUUUCUUGCUAUGGUCAGGUCAAUAUGGUCGUGAAAUUCUUCAUAUUUUUUAAUUUAAAAUCGAUGUAUUUGAAAACAAUAUAUUAUACAAAUAGGAUCUAUUUCAAAAAUGAUCACUAAACUUUAAAAGUUGUAACAGUAAAGUCGUAAAAUUUAUUUGCCUUAAACUUACUGCACAUAGGAGUAUGGGGAGUAUAUUUGCUUCUGAUUAAUGUCUAUUAUUCUCCAGGAUACAAAUAUUUGGCCUUCAAAAGCAAACAGUUUCUCUCCAACUACAAACUUUAUUUUCAUCUUAGAUUUUUAUUAUUACUUGUUGUUUCUUUAGCCUUGAUUGCUGUAUUAUCUUGUUGUAUUUUCUGCUUGUUGCUACUUCCUUCUUUUGCAUCUUUCUUUGAGUCAAGAAUCUAUUACAAACAACCUCUCAGGUCUCCGUACACACUAUACUAUCCAUCACUGAAAUUGAGGACUAUAACAACGUGUUUCUUCCGUUCUACUCUCCGAGAGGACAAGAACAACAGUUUCACACUCACCUAUAAGUUCCAGGAAGAUAGAGAAAACAAGUUUAAUCUAGUUGGACUUAAUGAAUCAGUGGUGAAUCUAUGAAGAACAUGCUAUGUAUGGACUCCUGCACUGUCUUCCAUCAGCAGGUCAAUUCUUGUGGAAAAUUGGCUCGAGCUGGUGCACUAUGUAGGCGCUUAUUCAGAGUAGAUUUCCAGUCUAACCUUAAUGCAUUAGCAAAGUGACUCUCCUAUUCUUAAGGUAUAGAGUUGUUAUGUUUCUUUCAAAGUUUACACACCAAGUAAUACUCUUAUCCUAAACAAUUUUGUUGUGUGGUGGUCCUAUUCCUGGAAUCCAGUUAGGUUGGCAAAACAAAGAUAUUUUUUUUGUCUAUAAUAACGUUGCACACAAAAUGCAUGUGUAAUGUGUUAUAUACAAGUGAUGGGACUUUGUGCUUUGACUUAAGAAUGUGAACUAUUGAUAGUUUCCGGCAUUCAAUUGUGUGACACAUUGAAUGGGUAUAUGUGAUUCACAACUUCAAAUUGACUGAAAAUGACUACGUAACCAAUAGUAAAAUUUUCUUUGCUUAAUUUGUGUUAUAUAUACCUCAUCAAAAUUGUUGAAUAGACACACAAAGCAAAACAUUUCUUGAUUUCUUCUCUACCAACUUAAUUAGUUUUGAUCAUUUUUAGUGCAGAAAUGGAUUGUGUAAAACUUGUAUUCUUUAUGCUAUAUACCUUUCUUGGUCAACUUGUUUUCUCCUCAUCCUUACCUCAUUUGUGUCCCGAAGAUCAAGCUCUUGCUCUUCUACAAUUCAAGAACAUGUUUCCCAUUAAUCCUAAUGCUUCUGAUUAUUGUUUUGAAUGGAAAGAGUUUCAUUCAUAUCCGAAAACUCUUACAUGGAAUAGGAGCACAGAUUGUUGCUCAUGGGAUGGAGUACAUUGUGACAAGAUGACGGGACAGGUGAUUGAGCUCAACCUCACUUGCAGCGGACUUCAAGGCAAGUUUCAUUCCAAUUGUAGCCUCUUUCAACUUUCCAAUCUCAAAAGGAUUGAUUUGUCUUUUAAUAAUUUCACUGGAUCACUCAUUUCACCUAAAUUUGGUGACUUCUCCAGUUUAACACAUCUUGAUCUAUCAGUUUCAAGUUUUUCAGGUCAAAUCCCUUCUGAAAUAUCUUAUCUAACCAAUUUAAACGUUCUUCGUAUCACGGCUGUUGAUCCAUAUGGGCUUAGACUUGGGCCUCACAAUUUUGAAUUGCUCCUUAAGAACUUGACCCAAUUAAGAGAGCUCAAACUUGACUCUGUGAACAUCUCCUCCACCAUUCCUCUAAAUUUCUCUUCUUAUUUAACAGUUCUACGGCUUCCAUACACACAGUUACGUGGGGUAUUGCCCGAAAGAGUAUUCCACCUUUCCAACUUAGAAUUCCUUCAUUUAUCAUCCAAUCCCCAGCUCAGUGUUAGGUUUCCCACAACCAAAUGGAAUAGCAGUGCAUCACUCAUGAAGUUAUAUCUCUUAGGGGUGAAUAUUACUAGUAGGAUACCUGAAUCAUUUAGCCAUCUAACUUCACUUCAUGAGUUGGACAUGGGUAAUACUAAUCUGUCAGGGUCCAUUCCUAAACCUCUAUGGAAUCUCACCAACAUAGAGAUUUUGUACCUUGAUACUAACCGUCUUGAAGGAACAAUUUCCCAGUUCUCGAUAUUUGAAAAGCUCAAGACGUUAUCACUUGGAAAUAACAACUUUGAUGGCCGACUUGAGUUCUUAUUCUUUAACAGAAGCUGGAUGCAACUUGAAUGGCUAGAUUUGCCAUCCAAUUCCCUAACUGGUCCAAUUCCAUCCAACGUAAGCGGACAGCGAAAUCUACAAUCACUCUUCUUGUCAUCAAACUACUUGAAUGGGACUAUACCUUCCUGGAUAUUCUCCCUUCCUUCACUAACAAAUUUAGAAUUGAGCAAUAACACUUUCAGCGGAAAAAUUCAGGAGUUCAAGUCCAAAACAUUAUAUUUCGUUACUCUAAAAGAAAAUAAGCUGGAAGGUCCUAUUCCAAAGUCACUCCUAAACCAGCAGAGCCUACGAGUUCUUCUCCUUUCACACAAUAAUAUCAGUGGACAGAUUGAUUCAGCUAUCUGCAAUAUGAAAACAUUGUUGCUACUAGAUUUGAAAAGUAAUAAUUUGGAGGGAACAAUUCCACAAUGUUUGGGUGAGAUGAGUACAGUUCGGAUUUUGGAUUUAAGCAACAAUGGUCUUAGUGGGACAAUUAAUCCAACUUUUACUAUUGAAAACCAAUUCAACAUCAGUAAAUUGAAUGACAAUAAACUACAGGGGAAAGUUCCAUCAUCUUUGAUCAAUUGUGAAAAAUUGGAAUUUCUAGAUUUAAGUAACAAUGAGUUGAAUGACACGUUUCCAAAAUGGUUGGGAGAGCUACCUCAUUUGCAGAUCUUAAAGUUGAGAUCAAAUAAGUUCUAUGGCCCUAUAAGGACUGACAACUUGUUUGCUCAAAUUCGAGUCAUAGAUCUCUCAUCCAACGGAUUUAGUGGAGAUCUACCAGUGAACUUGUUUCAGAAUUUUCAAGCCAUGAAAAAAAAUGGUGAGAACAGUGGAACCCCAAAGUAUGUAGCAGAUAUAUAUUCUUAUUAUUAUAAAAAUUCUUUGAUAGUGACAACGAAGGGACUGGAUCAUGAACUUCCUCGAGUUUUGACUACACAAAUAAUUAUCGAUCUCUCAAGGAAUAGAUUUGAAGGUUGUAUUCCAAACAUUAUUGGAGAUCUCGCUGGACUUCGUACGUUGAACUUAUCUCAUAAUGUCUUGGAAGGUCACAUACCAGAAUCACUGCAACAUUUAUCUGUACUUGAAUCAUUGGAUCUUUCAUCCAACAAAAUAGGCGGUGAAAUAUCACAACAAUUUGUGUCCCUUACGUCACUUGAAGUCUUAAAUCUCUCUCACAAUCAUCUUGUUGGAUGCAUCCCCAAAGGAAACCAAUUUAAUACAUUUGAGAACAAUUCAUACCAAGGAAAUGAUGGAUUACGAGGAUUACCACCCUCAAGAGAUUGUGGCGGUGAUGAUAGGGUACCACAAGCGACAAUUCCAGUUGAGCUAGACCAAGAAGAAGAAGAUUCACCAAUGAUCAGUUGGCACGCAGUUCUCAUGGGUUACGGUUGUGGACUUGUUAUUGGACUAUCUGUAAUAUACAUAAUGUGGUCAACUCAAUAUCCAACAUGGUUUUGGAGGAUGGAUUUAAAAUUGGAACACAAAAUUAGUACGAGAAUGAAAAGGCACAAGAAAAGAUAUUAGUGUGCACUGACCUGCAGGUAUUCAACUUGAUCUUUAUCCUUCAAAAGACUACUUCUUAUAUAUCGAUUUAUUAGUGUGUAAGUUUAAUUCUUUAUUUUUGAAAAUUGCAGGAUUCAAGUCUACUGAUCAGUUGCUGAUGAUGCAGAUAAAAGCCUUUAUCUUUCAUAGUUUGUGAUGUUUCCAUAAAGUGUUUGUUAUCCUAUGAAUAAAGACAUGACUUUUCUUCCUUGAGACUCAAAUCAGAUUAUGUUUUCAUUUGUCUAUGGCUUGUAGAAAUAAAUUCGACUGAUAAACAGAAAUCGGACACAAACUGCUUAAUCUGUGUCUGUAUUUACAUUGACUCCUCUAAAUUCCAAACCUUCCUGGUAUGACAUAUCAUACCACCCCAAAUACCUUCCAGUUCCAAAUAAAUUUUCUAAAUAUCUAGCUAGAUAGAGUUUUGGAUGUGGAAAAUCCACUCGAGCUGGUGCGCUAUGGAGAAGGAGUUGUGUUCAAAGUAGAUUUUCAUCGCUACUCAAGUUUGCAUUAACAAAGUGACAUCCUACUCCUAAAAUACAAUGAAUUCCAUUGCAGCAUAGAGUGAUCCCAUAUCUAUUGGUUGAACUAUUUUGAGGCAUUUGAUGUAGACUUUGUAGGAAAACAAUAACGAAUUAGCUCAAGGAGUACUAAAAGUUCCGUUAAAGAAAAUUCUUAAAAACUACAUGUGACAACUCGUACUAUAAGAGCAUGCAAGUUUGAGUCCUCUUCAAAGCAUAAUAUUAGUGUAACACCCCGUAUUCGAAACAGACCAAAUUGCAGAUUUUUAGAAGUUGCAGGUGCGACUUACGGUCACCAUCCAUGGACCGUAGGUCAGACCACGGCCCGUGCUGGUGGUCCGUGGUUCACCACUGCAACCCUCCCCAAAUCAGCUCAGAAAAAUUGGCUAAGUCCCGACUCACGGACAGACCUACGGUCCGUAGAUCAGACCACGGUCCGUGGUCUGAGUCCGUGGAUCGAGACUUCCCUUACCUAGCCUUUGAAACAAACUACGGUCAACCAGUACGGACCGUCAUUCGAUCCACGGUCCGUAGGUCUGACCGUAGAUGAGGGUCAAGCAACCAGUUAGAUGAAAAUUGUGGUUAAGUCAACUUCAGAUGGUCAUAACUCUUAGCACAAAAUGAAUUAUGUGUCCCAUUACCUAUGGUUAGAUAGAUAAUUGAAUUAUCUCUCCAACGCCACUGAGUUUGCUAAAUUCUGACCUCCGAGUAAAAAGUUAUGCUCGUUUUAGUGAAGCCCUGUCGGGCAGACUCGACUUACGGACCCAAUCGACGGUCCGUCUAUUGAACUACGGCCCGUCAGUCCAGUUCGUCGAUUGGUCCGACAGCAGUUAAUUCAAGGGUCUUUUGGUCUUUUCCUCUUUCGUUUAACCCCUAAGAUACGUCGUUUAAACCCUAAAUCAUAAGGUUUUAGUCAGUUUAAGCCUAGAAACAUAACUAGAACUUACCUAAGUCAAAUCAUUAAUCAAAACUUAGAAAAUUAGAAGCAAGAGAGGAGAAAAAGGUCAAGAACCCUAGUUCAAGAACCCUACAAGGUUCCAUCAGUUCCAGCCUCGAAAUUGAAAGAUUUCUCCGUGGAAUUCGUCACCAGGUAUGUGGGAUUUCACUAGUGGGUUCCUUUCACCCAUUAGGUCCCUAGAAUUCAGUCAGAUUCUUGAUUCCAUGAUUAUGAACAGACCUAGGGUUUCUAGAAUUACAACAGAUCAUCAUGAAUUAGUUAUUUAAAUGUUCCAAAUCAAAUUAUCAUGUUAUUGCUGAGCUUCUCGCAUGAAUUUUAGAACCCUAGCUAUGUAUUUCUUUAGUUCUUGAAUUACACAUGCUAGGUCAAAUAUUUNNNNNNNNNNNNNNNNNNNNNNNNNNNNNNNNNNNNNNNNNNNNNNNNNNNNNNNNNNNNNNNNNNNNNNNNNNNNNNNNNNNNNNNNNNNNNNNNNNNNNNNNNNNNNNNNNNNNNNNNNNNNNNNNNNNNNNNNNNNNNNNNNNNNNNNNNNNNNNNNNNNNNNNNNNNNNNNNNNNNNNNNNNNNNNNNNNNNNNNNNNNNNNNNNNNNNNNNNNNNNNNNNNNNNNNNNNNNNNNNNNNNNNNNNNNNNNNNNNNNNNNNNNNNNNNNNNNNNNNNNNNNNNNNNNNNNNNUUAUUAGUAGCUCCCACAGUUCAGUCAGACUCUAUUGCAUUGACCAUAUUUCAGUACGGUCAGUAUUCAGUCUCAGCAUGUUAUAAAUUUGGUCAUUGCAUCAGUUAGCUCAGUAUUCAGUAUUUUCAGUAUCUAUAUCAUGUUCAGAUUAUUUCAUUGCUUUAUUGCUUUGUUCAGUGAUAUGUUAUUUCAGCUGUAUUCUAUCCUGCAUGUUUAGUACCUUUCAAGUACUGAUGCAUACGUGCGCUAUAUCUUCUCGUGAUGUAGGUUCAGGUUCUCAGCAUCCAGAUCACGCUUAGAUCGAUUCCCGAUCUUCAGUUCAGCUGCACCAGUGGUGAGUCCUCAUUCUUCGUGGACUAGUGACAUGUUUAUCUUUAUCGCUUUUAGUCUUUAGUUUCAGUUUUGAUAGAUCUAGUUGGGGCAUGUUCCAACAUUUCUAGUCAGUUUAGAGGCUUAUUUCAGACAUAGUUAGAUUUAGCUUAGUAUUGAGUUAAUAUUUUCUUUGUAUUAAACUCAUCAAUUUUUCAUAUAUCUCAGAUAUAGUAUAUGGGUAUUCCCCAUCAUUUCAGACUUACUUUAUGAUUUAGCUUCCGCAUCAGUUAUUAUUAUCUUUAGUAUGCUCAUGAUCAUGCCAGCAGGGUUAGCUUGGGAUCACUUGUGGUCCUAGGUCCCGUGUCCGCGUCUUGGGGGUAGUCUCGGGGCGUGACAAUUAGGGCUCAUCAAAUGUGCGUUCUCAACAACAGAGCUCGGAUCAUUAAUUAACAGUAUCAUUUCACUUCACAUCCUAGCACUAUCAUUCUCUGGAAAAACUUAACAGCAACUUCAGAGCACCCGUUCUUCAUGUACCCAUAAAUCAUACGAGUCUAUGAAUAAACAUCUCUAGAAGGCAUGUAAGAAAACAUCAAGAACCCCAAACCCAUUUUUCCCUCAAGCAUUGCAUUAACUAAAUUCAGUAUCAUUAUUAUCAGUUAACUAUCUCCUGGGGCCUAUUCGACUGAUAAACAGAAAUUGGAAACUACUUGAAUCAUUCGAUCAAUUUCCAACUGAGAUAAUAGCAGAAGUCGUAUGCUUAAUUUAUGGGUUGCUCAUGGCUUUGUGUCAUUUAAGUACCUAAAGAAGAAUUUGAGUGUACAUAAGACUAAUUGGUAAGGUUCUACUGGUUUAAAAUAUAAUGUUUAGGGAUCACGUACAACGCGCAAGGACAAGAUCUUAGUAAAACAUGUGAUAAUCUGCUGUCAGGAUAUUGGAAUCACAUUAAAGUUCCUAAAAGACUUAGCUUCCAAUGUCUUUUCUGGUGAAGAGCUAAAGAUUAUUGGAAAUGCUGAUAAGUAAUUGAUUACUUGUCUGUAUAUUUGUCACAUUGUUCCCUGGCCAAAAUUUUAGGAAAUAGAUGCAUUGUUGAGCGUAUGCUCGAAACCAAUUAAGGAUACGAAAAGUUCUGUCACAACAAAUUCUUAAAAGGGUAUAUGCAUAGUACACUUAUCCUAACUAUCAAAACCUUCUUUUUUUUUUUACCUUUUAAGUUAAAGUCUAUACACAAAGUAACACUCUUAUCCUGACUAAUCAAGACUUUAACGGAUUUUCGAUUUGGGACAGUAAGUAAUACCUUAAAAUCACCAGAACUGCAAAUCCAAACAAAUUUACAUGACAAAUUGUGAGAAUAAACCGACAUCAAUUGCAUAAAAUUUUGGACGAGAAAAACUCUUAAAAAUGGUGUAAUAUCAUUGGCUUUGGGUAAAACUUGCACAGUUUCCUCUUAAAUGUUCACUUUAUACAUAUCUUCUUUUUAUCUUACCAACUUCUAAUGCAAGACUUUUUUCAUACACCCAACCGACAUAAGAGAGCCAAAACAACUUUUGUAUGUGUUGUGUGUGGAGAGUUGUUAAGAGAGACACGUUGAAUGUGAAUAUGUAAUUGACAACUCUAAAAUUGACUGAACAUGACAAGGUGACCUUCCUGAAAUUGAUUACUCCAAAGCAACAACUAAAUGUACAUAGUAAAUUUCUUUUCUUAGUUUGUGCUAUAUAUACCUCAUCAAACUUACUGAAUAUAGACACACAACAAACAUUUCUUGAUUUCUUCUCUACCAACUUAAUUAGUUUUGAUCAUUUUAGAGCAAAAAUGGGUUAUGUAAAACUUUUAUUUUUUAUGCUAUAUACCGUUCUUUGUCAACUUGCUUUCUCGUCAUCCUUGUGCCCCAAAGAUCAAGCUCUUUCUCUUCUACAAUUCAAGCACAUGUUUACCAUUAAUCUUGAUGCUUCUUAUGAUUGUGAGUUUUCUCAUCCAAAAACUCGUUCAUGGAACAAGAGCAUGGAUUGUUGCUCAUGGAAUGGAGUUCAUUGUGACAAGACAACAGGACAAGUGAUUGAGCUUGAUCUCCGUUGCAGCGAACUUCAAGGCAAGUUUCAUUCCAAUAGUAGCCUCUUUCAACUCUUCAAUCUCAAAAGGCUUGAUUUGUCGUAUAAUGAUUUCACUGGAUCACUCAUUUCACCUAAAUUUGGUGAGUUUUCAAGUUUGACGCAUCUUGAUUUGUCGCAUUCAAGAUUUACAGGUCUAAUCCCUUCUGAAAUAUCUCACCUUUCUAAAUUACACGUUCUUUUUAUAUGGAACCCCUCGGGUGGUUUAUAUGACCUUAGUCUUAGUCUUGGGCCUCACAAUUUUGAACUUCUCCAUCAGAACUUGACCCAAUUAAGAGAGCUUGACCUUUAUGGUGUGAACAUCUCUUCCACCAUUCCUUCAAUUUUUUCUUCUCAUUUAACAACUCUAGCACUUUCAGACACACAUUUAUGUGGGAUAUUGCCCGAAAGUGUUUUCCACCUUUCCAACUUAAAAACUCUCGAUUUGUCAUACAAUCACAAGCUCACAGUUAGGUUUCCCAUAACCAAAUGGAAUAGCAGCGCAUCACUCAUGUACUUAAAUCUCUAUGAUGUGAAUAUUACUGGUAGGAUACCUGAAUCAUUUAGCCAU
rnacentral:lncRNA from 1 species